GGAAAUCCCAACGCCUCCUCAUGGGGCUGUGCUGGGACAGACUGGUGCAGGAGCUCUCCCUGACCUUCCCCCCCCCCCAGGCCUGGCUCCCUGCUGUGCCAUGGGGACGUGCUCUUCCAGCCCCCCGCUCCCACCAGCCUGGAGGUCCUGGAGGCGCUCGUCUCUCGCCGUGGGGCCAGACUGAAGCCUUGGCUGGCUCUGCCUUCCACGUGGACCCCUAUUCCAUCGCUGUCGGAGAGGACACCCUGGAGCCCCCUCCUGCUCCUGGCUUUCCUGAGUCCGUGGUGGCCAUCAUGGUCGUGUGCGUCCUCAGUCAUCGUUACCGUGCCCAUCAUCUUGCUGGUGGUCCUGAGGACCAGGAGGGGCAGCUGGAGCGAUGUGGCCGUCCUGUGGGACAGGAGAGACCCUGA
rnacentral:lncRNA from 1 species